UGAUGGUCCGUCCUGUGCUGGCGGAGCCUCCUGGAGGAACAGCAAGCGAGCGGACGGUUCCAUUUCAGCUCAAGCAGCGCAUCAAAAAUGACAGCCUUCCAGCUCUGGAAAUAUAAGGAGCAUUUCAUUUACAUAUGUGAAAAUGGCUCAAAUUUAACCGUGCAGUGCAAGAAGUGUUUGCCGGCUAUCAAGAACUUGUCCACGUCGAAGCAAUCUAUGUCAAACCUGAGGAAACAUUUAGAGAGGAAGCAUCCAGGCGUUCUUCUGAAAGGCACGUUUAGUCCAUCUGAUACUCGGGAAGUAUCCACAGUGUCCACAGUUGUUUUGCUUGUGUGAUUUUGGAAAACUAUUGUUUUUCCCGUUUUGAUUUUGAAUGAUAUGUUGCAAACACUUCUAUUUUUGUCAACAUUCCAUUGACUGUUAAAUGUUCAGUGACUAACUUGACUACCCUUCGUCCAUCUUAAUUCUUGAUGCACUGUAUUGUGCCGUGUUUAAUUUUACAAGCAAGGGUGUGCAAAGAAAAAAUCAAGAAAAAUAAAAUGUGAUGUAAAAGUCUUA